UCGCCCUUUCCGGUUGAUCCUGCCGGACCCGACUGCUAUCGGAUUGAGAUUUAGCCAUGCGAGUCGAACGCUUCCCUGUUGCGGGAGGCGUGGCGUACGGCUCAGUAACACGUAGUCAACCUGCCCUGGAGACAUGGACAACCCCGGGAAACUGGGAUUAAUCCAUGAUAGGUCAUCUCAUCUGGAAGGAGAGAUGGCUUAAAGGGGUGCGAGAGCUUCUUUCUUGUAUCUGCUCCAGGAUGGGACUGCGGCCGAUCAGGCUGUUGGUGGGGUAAUGGCCCACCAAACCUGUAACCGGUACGGGCCUUGAGAGAGGGGGCCCGGAGAUGGACACUGAGAGAAGGGUCCAGGUCCUACGGGGCGCAGCAGGCGCGAAACCUUCGCAAUGCGCGAAAGCGUGACGAGGUUAAUCCGAGUGGUCCCCGCUGAGGGGAUCUUUUGUCGGCUGUAAAAAGGCCGGUGAAUAAGGGGAGGGCAAGUCUGGUGUCAGCCGCCGCGGUAAUACCAGCUCCUCGAGUGGUCGGGGCGAUUAUUGGGCCUAAAGCAUCCGUAGCCUGUUCUGUAGGUCCUCUGUUAAAUCCAACGGCUUAACCGUUGGCCCGCAGAGGAUACCGCAGGACUAGGAGGCGGGAGAGGUGGACGGUACUCCACGUGUAGGGGUAAAAUCCUUUAAUCCGUGGAAGACCACCAGUGGCGAAGGCGGUCCACCAGAACGCGCUCGACGGUGAGGGAUGAAAGCUGGGGGAGCGAACCGGAUUAGAUACCCGGGUAGUCCCAGCCGUAAACGAUGCAAGCUAGAUGAUCCGGUCGCAAAUCGCGAUCGGAGUGUCGCAGGGAAGCCGUUAAGCUUGCCGCCUGGGGAGUACGGUCGCAAGACUGAAACUUAAAGGAAUUGGCGGGGGAGCACCACAAGGGGUAAAGCCUGCGGUUCAAUUGGAGUCAACGCCAGGAAACUUACCAGGAGAGACAGCAGGUUGAGGGUCAAGCUGAAGACUUUACCUGACGAGCUGAGAGGAGGUGCAUGGCCGUCGCCAGCUCGUGCCGUGAGGCGUCCUGUUAAGUCAGGCAACGAGCGAGACCCAAAGGGCGAA
rnacentral:rRNA from 2 species